GUUCACUGUCCGUAUAAGGUUAAGAACAAUGUAAAUCAGUAACUGCAGCUAUGCUUAAAGAAAUGGUUUGCGUAAGUGAAACUAGUUAUAAAGAACAAAUAGUGUUGUAAUCAAUACUUGUAAGGUUGCGUAAGAACUUUUUGCAGCCCAAGUCAAGAAGAGGAUACUGAGGAAGACUCGUGAGGGCCGUUAUCAACGACCACCAGAAGGUAGAAAAUGAACCCCUAUCAACUGCCGGAGCAUGCGCGAUAAGCACCAAGAGGAUAACUCAACAAGAAGAGCGGGUGCUUAAAAGAACUGAAAACCCCGGUCGGCACGGCAGUUGGUGGAGCGGUGACUCCCCUGUCGCCCAGCGCUGCAUUUUGCUUUUCUUUCUAAUAAAUUGCUAUUUUAAUUGGCUAAAAUGGCCCGUUGUGCUCAUUGAUAACAAUUUGGUGCCGUGACUCGGAUCGGUGAUAGGGGUGAUUUUCUACCCGUGAGGGGGGCACCCCACCAUUUUGGUGGCCCUCGGGGUUAGGAGGUCGCCCUACUCCCGACCGACGAACCUAAAAUUAAGGAAAGGAAAGCAAAGGGAAUUGAGGGCCCAGGGAACUCCUUAAAAGCUUUGUGCACAAGGUCCGGACGAAGACGCAGGACGCGUGCAGCCGGGAGAUUGGGUCCUGGUCCGGAGCUGGAAAGAGAACCCGUUAACCCCGAAGUGGGAGGGACCGUAUUUAGUACUACUCACCACUGAUACGGCAGUACGAACAGCAGAGAAAGGAUGGACUCAUGCUAGUCGAAUAAAAGGACCCAUAAAUCCAUCAGAAUUCUCCAAAAACAAGGAUCCUCAGUGGAAUAUCAAAGGAACACCUGGCGAUUUGAAGUUUACUUUAACAAGGACUUUAUCCUAAAUGGACGCUGGGGACAUUUGGGUAGGGGAUAAUUGAGUGUUGCAGAAAGAACUGAUUGGAACUUCAGAACCACCUGGAUAUUGUGAAUAUUUAGAAAAACUUACCCAACAACCCUACUAUCGAGAAAUAAGAUUAAUAAAUAAAGAUAAGUUAUAUAAUGGGGAAGAAAAUGUUGAUCACAAUAAUAUAAGAAUAGUUUGUAGUUGGUUAGAUUGUAAUUGUUAUCCAUUUAUAUGUUUUUGUUGUAAAAUCUGUAAAGAGUUGUGGUGGGUUCAUUGCCGAAGAGGGCGGGCUCCUAGAAGUGUGUGUCAACCCUGUGGGGGGGAACAGCGCGAGCUGACUGCCCUGGCCCUAAGUCAGAAAGUAGCAGCUCGAGAGCUUAAAGUGGGAUCCCCAUCCUGGUGGCAAAUAUUUUCUAAAGGUAUAAACCCCGAACUUUGUUGUUAUCACUCUAACGAGCCUGUGGGACCAUAUAACACGGAUAUUGUGAAGGCGGAGUGCCGAAAACAAGUAAAAGGAUUGAGGUGUGACACCCCAUCAGUAAAGGACAAAAAUUGGCAUACCACAAGAAGAAAGUGGAGGAGGGGAGCAAGCUCUACCCCUGAAGAACAUCCUUGCUGCCGUGAAGAUGGGUUACCCCGCAGCUAGCCGCAAUCUAGUUGGCGGGCGAGGCAGAAGGGUGAACAGUGGGGAAAAAGAGCCUCCCAAUUUAGUUACCACUAAGGUACUCACCCACGUACGAACCCCAGGCCGAAAAGGGGGUAACAAAGGAAAUAAAACAAAAAGAAUUUACAAACAACAAAUUAGUUUCGGCCAUAAGCAACCCACAACUCUAAAGGUAUGUGUAAUGAAAAUAUUUUUAGGAUUUAUUAUAAAACCAAUAGCAGCUGACCAUGAACCUUUUAAGUGAACCUUAAAGUAGAUGGGAAAGUCAUGAUACAAAGCAUGAGCUCCAGUCUGUCAUCUCCUCUGAAGCCCCAAGUUUUACAGCAGGAGUUUGUAAUUUAACUAAAGUACAGCAUUGUGGUCCCCUAAAUCAUACAAGCUUUUAUAUGUGCCCUGCCUCAAAUCCCGGGAGGUCCUAUUGUAAUUAUCCGGAAGAAUAUUAUUGUGGAUAUUGGGGUUGUAAGACCAUUGCAUUUGGAUAGAAACCGGGAGCUGGGCCUGACAAAUUUCUUAAAGUAAAGUUGGAGUCCUAAAGGUUGUAAAACCCCAUGGUCAUGGAAUUCUGGCUGGUGUAAUUCCCCCAGUUGUCGAGGAAAUUGUACAUUUAUAUUUUUAAAUGCUUCUCAACCAGAAGACGCAGAAUGGCUGAUAGGCCGGACGUGGGGAAUUAGGCACUGGAAAGAUGGGCAUGAUUUUGGAAAUUUGAUCCAGAUAAAAAAGGAACCUAUACCAUAUGAUUUGGAGCCGAUAGGGCCAAAUCCAGUUAUAGGGGGUGAGAGUACAGAAAAUCAGACUAAAAUCUUAGUUCCAGGGAAAAAUGAGACAGAAAAUAAGACAGAAGUUGAAAUUGAAAACUAUCAAUCUUUUAGAAGAUACAAUGCGCUGUGGAAAACAUUACAAGCUACCUUCACGGUAUUAAACCAUACGUACCCGAAUUUGACAGAGGGGUGCUGGCUAUGUUAUAUGAUGAGACCUCCCCUAUAUGAGGCCUUGGGCUCCACAGCAAAAUCUAAACGAAUCAAUGGAACAAACCCCAGGGAAUGUUUAUGGAAAAAAGGAAGAGAGGACACCCCUGGAUUAUCACUGACUCAAGUGAUAGGGAAGGGAAGGUGCAUAGGAAAUAUACCCCAAAAAAAAAAAAAAAAAAAAAAAAAAAGACCAUCUCUGUUAAGUAAGAAUGUCUAUUCAUGAUAUCCGGAAACCUGCUCAAUGGCUUAUUCCUGCAGCAAAUACUAAAUGGAUCUGCAACAAUUUAGAAAUUACUCCCUGUUUAAGCAUCCAACACUUUAAUGAAACAUCAGAAUACUGUGUUCAGGUUCUUAUUAUCCCUCGUAUAUCAUAUCACACGAGGGACUACGUACCGAAACACCAAAUUACCCCUGAACAUCACCUAGCAAAAAGGAAACCCUUUACAGCACUUACAGUAGCAGUAUUAUUAAGUGUUGGGGGAGUUGGGAUUGGUACUGGAGCAGCUUCAUUAAUACAACAACAGCAAAAGAUGAGAGCUUUAAGGGUAUCAGUAGAUGAAGACUUGAACAGAAUUGAAAAGGCAAUUGAUGGCUUAGUAAAAUCAUUAAGGUCUUUAUCUGAAGUAGUGCUGCAGAAUCGCAGAAAGUUAGACUUAUUAUUAUUGCAACAAGGAGGAUUAUGUGUGGCUUUAAGGGAAGAAUGUUGCACAUAUGCAGACCAUACCGGCAUAGUUAUAGACACCAUGGCUGAACUUCGAAAGCAGCUGGAACAACAGAAGAAGGAACGAGAGACUCAGCAAAGUUGGUAUGAGUCAUGGUUUAAUCAUUCUCCCUGGUUAACUACCUUGUUGUCUACCAUAGCAAGACCCUUGAUAUUGUUUAUUUUGACCCUAACGUUUAGACCAUGUAUUUUUAAUAAGCUCAUUAACAUAGUUAAGAGAAAAUUGGAAGCUGCUCAUUUAAUGCUAAUUAGAGCUAAAUAUGAACCCCUGUCUGGAAUAAAGACAGAAAAGCAUUUGGAACUUAGUAGAAGGGAAUUAGCUAGAUUUAAUGAACAAAAAGAGUAAAAAAAAAAAAAGGGGGGGAUUGUGGUAAGAAACAGAAGUCCCUUUUUGUUCACUGUCCAUAUAAGGUUAAGAACAAUGUAAAUCAGUAACUGCAGCUAUGCUUAAAGAAAUGGUUUGCGUAAGUGAAACUAGUUAUAAAGAACAAAUAGUGUUGUAAUCAAUACUUGUAAGGUUGCGUAAGAACUUUUUGCAGCCCAAGUCAAGAAGAGGAUACUGAGGAAGACUCGUGAGGGCCUUUAUCAACGACCACCAGAAGGUAGAAAACGAACCCCUAUCAACUGCCGGAGCACGCGCGAUAAGCACCAAGAGGAUGACUCAACAAGAAGAGCGGGUGCUUAAAAAGAGAACUGAAAACCCCGGUCGGCGCGGCAGUUGGUGGAGCGGUGACUCCCCUGUCGCCCAGCGCUGCAUUUUGCUUUUCUUUCUAAUAAAUUGCUAUUUUAAUUGGCUAAAA